rnacentral:rRNA from 1 species
UACGUAGGGGGCAAGCGUUGUCCGGAUUUAUUGGGCGUAAAGAGCGUGUAGGCGGUUAGGUAGGUCCGUUGUGAAAACUGGAGGCUCAACCUUCAGAGGUCGACCGAAACCAUCUGGCUAGAGUCCGGGAGAGGAGAGUGGAAUUCCUGGUGUAGCGGUGAAAUGCGCAGAUAUCAGGAAGAACACCCGUGGCGAAAGCGGCUCUCUGGAACGGUACUGACGCUGAGACGCGAAAGCGUGGGGAGCGAACAGG